CUACGGCUAUAUUACACUGAAAGACCGGCUCCCGUACGAUCACUAGAGUUAGGAAACAUCGAGCCUGGUCAGUACAUAGAUGGGUGACCAUUUGGGAAUACCAGAUGAUGUAA